rnacentral:rRNA from 1 species
AGGACUAACGCUGGCGGCGUGCCUAACACAUGCAAGUCGAACGGGGUAGCAAUACCCAGUGGCAGACGGGUGAGUAACACGUGGUCAACCUACCUCUGUGUGGGGGAUAACUAGCCGAAAGGUUAGCUAAUACCGCAUACGAUCGUUUUGAGGCAUCUCGAGACGAUGAAAGGAGCAAUCCGCACGGAGAGGGGACUGCGUCCCAUUAGUUAGUUGGUGGGGUAACGGCCUACCAAGACUCCGAUGGGUAGCUGGCUUGAGAGAGCGACCAGCCACACUGGAACUGAGAAACGGUCCAGACUCCUACGGGAGGCAGCAGUGAGGAAUUUUCCGCAAUGGGCGAAAGCCUGACGGAGCGACGCCGCGUGUGGGAUGAAGGCCUUCGGGUCGUAAACCACUGUCGAAGGGGACGAUAAUGACGGUACCCUUGGAGGAAGCCCGGCUAACUACGUGCCAGCAGCCGC